GGGCGGGGCAACCCGCCAGUGGCGAACGGUUGAGUAACACGUAGACAACCUGCCUCCAAGUGGGGGAUAACUGCGGGAAACUGCAGCUAAUACCGCAUGUGGCCGGGCGCGGCAUCGCUCCCUGGCUAAAGGGGCAACUCGCUUGGAGGUGGGUCUGCGGCCUAUCAGCUUGUUGGUGGGGUAACGGCCCACCAAGGCGACGACGGGUAGCUGGUCUGAGAGGAUGAUCAGCCAGACGGGGACUGAGACACGGCCCCGACUCCUUCGGGAGGCAGCAAUGAGGGAUAUUGCGCAAUGGGGGAAACCCUGACGCAGCGACGCCGCGUGGGUGAGGAAGUCCUUCGGGAUGUAAAGCCCUUUUGACCGGGACGAACAAAAUGACGGUACCGGUCGAAUAAGCCCCGGCUAACUACGUGCCAGCAGCCGCGGUAAUACGUAGGGGGCAAGCGUUGUCCGGAUUUACUGGGCGUAAAGCGCGCGUAGGCGGAAGGUUAAGCGUGGCCUGAAAGCCCCCGGCUCAACCGGGGAGGGUGGCUGCGAACUGGCUUUCUUGAGGGCGAUAGAGGAGCGUGGAAUUCCUGGUGUAGCGGUGAAAUGCGUAGAGAUCAGGAGGAACACCCGUGGCGAAGGCGGCGCUCUGGAUCGGCCCUGACGCUGAGGCGCGAAAGCGUGGGGAGCGAACGGGAUUAGAUACCCCGGUAGUCCACGCCGUAAACGAUGGUCACUAGGUGUGUGCGGUAUCGACCCCGCACGUGCCGAAGCUAACGCAUGAAGUGACCCGCCUGGGGAGUACGGCCGCAAGGUUGAAACUCAAAGGAAUUGACGGGGGCCCGCACAAGCGGUGGAGCAUGUGGAUUAAUACGUCACUAACCGUAGAACCUUACCCAGGCUUGACAUCCCGGG
rnacentral:rRNA from 1 species